rnacentral:rRNA from 1 species
GGGUGCCUACGGGGCGCAGCAGUGGGGGAUAUUGCACAAUGGGGGAAACCCUGAUGCAGCGACGCCGCGUGAGUGAAGAAGUAUUUCGGUAUGUAAAGCUCUAUCAGCAGGGAAGAAAAAUGACGGUACCUGAGUAAGAAGCACCGGCUAAAUACGUGCCAGCAGCCGCGGUAAUACGUAUGGUGCAAGCGUUAUCCGGAUUUACUGGGUGUAAAGGGAGCGCAGGCGGUGCGGCAAGUCUGAUGUGAAAGCCCGGGG